rnacentral:ncRNA from 2 species
UGUAUCCACUAGGGGUGUCGAGUGACUGAGAGAGGGAAACCCUCAACUCUUAGAACCUGAUCUAGUUUAAACUAGCGUAGGGAAGUGGCUGUUAUUCAUG